CGGUAAUUCCAGCUCCAAUAGCGUAUAUUAAAAUUGUUGCAGUUAAAAAGCUCGUAGUUGAAUUUCUGCUAAAAAUAACCGGUCUGCUUUUAAUAAAGGUGGUAUCUUGGUGUGUUUUUAGCAAUAAUGUCCUUUGAAAUGUUUUUUACUUCAUUGUAAGAAAUUAUAUUCAGGAUUUUUACUUUGAGAAAAUUAGAGUGUUUCUAGCAGGCUAACGCUUUGAAUACUGCAGCAUGGAAUAAUAAAAUAGGAUUUUGGUUCUACAUUAUUGGUUUUAAGAGCUAAAUUAAUGAUUGAUAGGGACAGUUGGGGGCAUUUGUAUUUAACUGUCACAGGUGAAAUUCUUA
rnacentral:rRNA from 1 species